AGCGAACGCUGGCGGCAGGCCUAACACAUGCAAGUCGAACGGAUCCUUCGGGAUUAGUGGCGGACGGGUGAGUAACACGUGGGAACGUGCCCUUUGGUUCGGAACAACUCAGGGAAACUUGAGCUAAUACCGGAUGUGCCCUUCGGGGGAAAGAUUUAUCGCCAUUGGAGCGGCCCGCGCCUGAUUAGCUAGUUGGUGAGGUAAAGGCUCACCAAGGCGACGAUCAGUAGCUGGUCUGAGAGGAUGAUCAGCCACAUUGGGACUGAGACACGGCCCAAACUCCUACGGGAGGCAGCAGUGGGGAAUCUUGCGCAAUGGGCGAAAGCCUGACGCAGCCAUGCCGCGUGAAUGAUGAAGGUCUUAGGAUUGUAAAAUUCUUUCACCUGGGACGAUAAUGACGGUACCCGGAGAAGAAGCCCCGGCUAACUUCGUGCCAGCAGCCGCCGUAA
rnacentral:rRNA from 1 species